CCUACGGGAGGCAGCAGUGAGGAAUAUUGGUCAAUGGGCGGAAGCCUGAACCAGCCAAGUAGCGUGCAGGAUGACGGCCCUACGGGUUGUAAACUGCUUUUAUACGGGAAUAACGCGCCUUACGUGUAGGUCUUUGCAUGUACCUUAUGAAUAAGGACCGGCUAAUUCCGUGCCAGCAGCCGCGGUAAUACGGAAGGUCCGGGCGUUAUCCGGAUUUAUUGGGUUUAAAGGGAGCGUAGGCCGGAUGUUAAGCGUGCUGUGAAAUGGCCGGGCUCAACCCGGGCCGUGCAGCGCGAACUGGCGGGCUGGAGUGCGCGGAAGGCAGGCGGAAUGCGUAGUGUAGCGGUGAAAUGCUUAGAUAUGACGAAGAACCCCGAUUGCGAAGGCAGCUUGCUGCAGCGGAACUGACGCUGAGGCUCGAAAGCGCGGGUAUCGAACAGGAUUAGAUACCCGAGUAGUC
rnacentral:rRNA from 1 species